rnacentral:rRNA from 1 species
UACGGAGGUGCAAGCGUUAUCCGGAUUCACUGGGUUUUAAAGGGUGCGUAGGCGGGCAGGUAAGUCAGUGGUGAAAUCUCCGGGCUUAACCCGGAAACUGCCUUAUACUUCUCUGUCUUGAAUAUGGUGGAGGUAAGCGGAAUAUGUCAUGUAGCGGUGAAAUGCUUAGAGAUGACAUAGAACACCUAUUGCGAAGGCAGCUUACUACGCCUAUAUUGACGUGAGGCACGAAAGCGUGGGGAUCAAACAGG